rnacentral:rRNA from 1 species
GAUGAACGCUGGCGGCGUGCUUAACACAUGCAAGUCGAACGGAAAGGCCCAAGCUUGCUUGGGUACUCGAGUGGCGAACGGGUGAGUAACACGUGGGUGAUCUGCCCUGCACUUCGGGAUAAGCCUGGGAAACUGGGUCUAAUACCGGAUAGGACCACUUCUUGGAUGUUGUGGUGGAAAGUUUUUUCGGUGUGGGAUGAGCUCGCGGCCUAUCAGCUUGUUGGUGGGGUAAUGGCCUACCAAGGCGUCGACGGGUAGCCGGCCUGAGAGGGUGUACGGCGCAUGUGGGGGGGAGCGGCGGCCACGACGCGGAGGGGCGGAGUGGGGGGGGAAGAGGGCAGAGGGGGCGGAGCGCGGAGGGCGAGGCGCGGUGGGGGGGAGGUGGGGCUUCGCGUGGUUACUCACUGUCGGUGGGGACGAGGAUUGUGGGGACGGGGCGGGGAGAAAACGCAAGGGAUAACUACGUGCCAGAAGCGGGGGAAAGAAUCGAGGACCGCGCUUAUGAAC